UACGUAGGGGGCAAGCGUUGUCCGGAUUUAUUGGGCGUAAAGAGCGUGUAGGCGGCUGGGUAGGUCCGUUGUGAAAACUCGAGCUCAACCUCGAGACGCCGAUGGAAACCCUCCAGCUAGAGUCCGGAAGAGGAGAGUGGAAUUCCUGGUGUAGCGGUGAAAUGCGCAGAUAUUAGGAAGAACACCCGUGGCUAAGGCGGCUCUCUAGUACGGUACUGACGCUGAGACGCGAAAGCGUGGGGAGCGAACAGG
rnacentral:rRNA from 1 species